rnacentral:SRP_RNA from 1 species
CGUGCUAAGUGGGGAGUUAGCGGUUCCCUGUACCCGAAAUCCGCUUUACGCGGGGCUGAUGAUCGAUUGAGGUCAGCUGCUGCACGGAAAGGGCUCAUUUUGAAGUGUUGAAAGCAGAGUCCCACGCAGCGGAAAACCACGAACCUGGUCAGAUCCGAAAGGAAGCAGCCAUAAGUGGCCACUUCUGGGUGACGUGGGGUAGCUUUGUUGGAGCUUCUAAAAUGAGUA